UAGAAAAUGCUAGUCUCCCCAGGGAGGCGACACGCUCAACAUGCGGAAAGGCCCUUUCGAGGGAAAUCCGCAGCCCCUACCCGGGGUUCAGAGACUCGAUGAGCGUGGGUCUGGCUACGGCCAGGCUUAAGAUAGAGCCCGUCCCUGCUGGCAACUCCAGGGAGUCGACGGAACCUGCGGAAGGAUCAUUAAUGAAUAACGGCUUCACGGCCCUAUUCUCACCCUAUGUAUACCUAACUUGGUUGCUUUGGCAGGCCCCUGGCUUCGGCUGGACAGCGCCUGCCAGAGGACAUAAACCCUGGAAUCUUUGCUGUCUGAGUACUAUAUAAUAGUUAAAACUUUCAACAACGGAUCUCUUGGUUCUGGCAUCGAUGAAGAACGCAGCGAAAUGCGAUAAGUAAUGUGAAUUGCAGAAUUCAGUGAAUCAUCGAAUCUUUGAACGCACAUUGCGCCCUCUGGUAUUCCGGGGGGCAUGCCUGUUCGAGCGUCAUUACAACCCUCACGCCUAGCGUGGUAUUGGGCUCCGCCUGCUAAAGGUCGGCCUCAAAAUCAGUGGCGGCACCGUCUGACUCUAAGCGUAGUAAUACUCGUCGCUUUUGAGUUCGGGCGGCAGCCUGCCAGCAACCCCCACUUUCAAGGUUGACCUCGGAUCAGG
rnacentral:rRNA from 1 species